GUGGGGUUCAACGUCCCGAAACCACCAUAUGAUUAUGGCAGACACCAAAGUGGAGGGCUCCAGAAAUUUCGACCACCUGGGGUUCUUUAACGUGCUCCCAAAUCUGAGCACACGGGCCUGCAUGUUCAAGUGCCUAUUAUGUUAUACCUACCCUGGACAGUGAAGGUGUCCGAAGGCGUGAACGGCAUCAGCCAUUUCAACAGGCGGCGGCUCAUCGACCCCAAGAUGGAGGCGUAUCGAGAAUCCAUGGCGAUGCGGUGGCAACUCAUCAUGGAGCCAGCGCGCGUGUGCAAGAAGAAGCGGCUGCUGCGCGGCCGCAAGGCGCGCAUUUGCCGCAAGGAGCCCAAGGUGGUGCGCGAGAUCGCGCGGGGAGUCGACCUGGGAAUUCGGGAGUGCCAGAAUCAGUUCCGCUUCCAUCGGUGGAACUGCUCGACGCUCCGGUCGUCCAUGAAGAAAGUGCUCAUGAAAGACACUCGCGAGGCGGCGUUCGUGGACGCCAUCGUGGCGGCGGGUGUGGUGUACGCGCUGACAGAGGCGUGCGCCCAGGGUCGCCUGCUCGAUUGCCAAUGCAGGCGGCGGCACAACGCCGUGAACCACCUGCAGGGCCGCACUGGCUGCGACCACUUCGUCGACUUCGGAUAUCACAAGUCGCGCGACUUCAUGAACCGGAAGCGCGUCGGUGACCUGCGUGCCACCAUCUUGUCGCACAACUACGAGGCCGGACGACAGGCCGUGCGACUGCACCUGGAGCGCGUGUGCCGCUGCCACGGCAUGUCCGGCACCUGCUCGCUGAAGACGUGCUGGCGCAAGCUGCCCACCUUCAGCAAGGUGGGGCUGCGGCUGAAGCAGCGCUUCCAGGGCGCGGUGCGCGUCACGGCCGGCAACUCGGGCAAGGGCUUCGUACCGGAGACGGUGAGGCCGCCGGGACGCGAGGACAUCGUUUUUUCCGAAGAGUCGCCCGACUACUGCGAAGCCGACCGGCGCACCGGAUCCCUGGGCACCAGGGGGCGCCUCUGCAAGCUGGGCUCGCAGGGUCCCGACGACUGCCGGACCCUGUGCUGCGGUCGCAAGGUGCGCAGCCGGCAGACAGUGGUGAGCGUGGCGUGCAACUGCACCUUCCAGUACUGCUGCAACGUCACGUGCCAGACGUGUCUCGAGACUCUGCACGAGACCACGUGCCUAUAGGGGGUCAACGUUCAAUGUGUGGGGACCACCAAAGAGCGCUCUUCUGGAAGUGUGCCGCUGUGCUGCGCCUUAGCUUUGCUCUGAACGCUACGAGGAACUAGUGUGUGGCUUAGUGAUCGAAUGGUGUGACUGUGAGAGACUUUCUCGAAUGCCCUGAACAUCGACGCUGCUUCCAAACGACGUAUGCACGCGACUGACAGAGAACUGCUUCCUUCUUCUUCAUUCGACCGCUGCAGUUAGCUUCGUCCUCGAUUAGUAGCUCACUCGCGCUUGCUUCACAACUUCGACAACGCCGGUAACGAAGAUUCGAAGCACCAUGGGAGAAUCGUGGUUCGAGACAGCGCUUAGACAGAUGGGUCCACAAGGGGCAGGCUUCUGCCGGGACACGUCAAUGGCGCGGGCUCGCCAGACUUAAGAACAGAAACAAAGAGAACAAAAGUGCUUCUUCAUUUUCGACAAGGUCUGUGAUAUAGUAAACUGUGGGCUCCGUGAGCUCGUGCUUUGAACGACCGGCGGCCUGUGUCUGUGCGUGUGUGUGUUCGUAUUCUGCGUGUAUACAUGUGUGGACUAAAAAGCCGGUAUUUCGGGCAAAGUGUGCCAACCGUUCGUUGUGUAUCGCGUCCAUGGCACUGGCGGCUUUCAGAGCCGGGGAAGCUGUGUGCGCGCGCUUGAGGACAAUCUUAUGUAUCGAACGCGCGACGUGUGUUGACGGUAAAUUGAGUGUAGGUGUUUUUUUUUCUUUAGCUGUUGUUGCUAUUUUUUUGGCAAUUUGAAGAUGAGGACAGUCGUUUGCUGCUCCUUGGCCUUCGCGGCUGAUGGCAUUUAAGACCUGGUAUAGUCAAGCUUCCACGUUUUUGUGUUCUUCCUGUGGGUUUCUUUCUUUUCAGUCAGGAGCAAACGAUGAGAUGGCUGUUUAUGGUACUGUGGCGCCCCACGAGGCCGUGCAUUCGAUGCUUGCAGGCUAUGAGAAAUUUUUCUUAAUAUGCGCGGCUAUUUGAUGUAUAGUUUAAGGCAUUUUACUAACCUGCGUGCAUCAGUGCAAUUUACAUGACGGCUUUUUAUGUCGUGUUAGUUUGUGUCGUAGUAUUGUUGUUAGCGACAUACGUGUGCGUGAUAUAUGUUUCUUUCUUUCUUUUUUGGGGGGGAGGGGCAGGUGAGACGUCAGAGACUUUAUUGCGGCUGGUAUGCAGUGUUGAUCGUGCUUGUCUGUCACAAUAAGCCUUUCCUGCUUUUUCAUUUCUAUAGGCCAAACAAAACGAGAAUGAUGUUUUUUUUUAUUAUUGAGAAUGGGAGGGCGGAUGUAGUUUAAAACUCAUGAUUGAGUCAUUGAGCAGGAGAAUUUCAGAACAGCGGUAUUUGUUUUGUUCACUAAAAGCCCACAAUUUCUUUGAGAAAAGCUUCGUUCUUCACAACUGUGAUCGGCGCUAUUGUGUUGUACCGCUUUGAAUGGUAGGUGUUUGCAUUCAAGAAUUUUUCUUCGUAAGCUUUUUUUUUUUUUUGACCGCUAGCUCUUGGGGUAUUUUUGCUUUUUUUGUUUUUCAACGUGAAAGCUCGUUGUUUUAGAACAACAAAACAAAACAAUUUAUAUAGAACAUGGAAUUUCAACACUCACCUAAGUCAGCAUGCCCAGUCAACUUGGCUAGCUAACUGCCUGCACCUCAAUAUUUACAGAAUACACGAAAAAAUGCACCGACGUAUUCGUGCCAAAGAUUAUAAUGCGAAGUGAACGAGCUGCUUGCACGCUUACUUGCAGGAAGGUUUUCAUCGUCGUAAAAAGUGUCCACUUUCAUGCGACAUUUAGGCUUAGCUAAGUAAUAUCUUGAACAUUUCUUAUCUACUUGCCACAUUACAUUCUUGUUUUGUUCCGAGGAGAGUGAUUAUAGCUGCUGUAAGACCACAGUCAAUGUUGUGGGCUCUUAUUAUUUAAUUACCACCGUAACAGCAGCACUUAAGAAGGCACUGGGUUACAGAAGAAUAACAUGGUCACGAAUAAUUGUAGUAUACCAGCCAAAGGACGCUCAUUGCAGCUCUACUAAUGUUCGCUUCCGCUAUUUAUUGUGUUGUGAGAAGCAUUUAUGGCAUUAUUCGCGUAGCUCUUACGCCGUUCAUAACACGAAAAUGAGCGAACACUACACGUUAGAUGCGUCUGUAUUAUAACGAGCAUUCAGCGUAUAUAAACACAACUGUUUAUUAACUUUGUCGCGGAGAGACAAAAUCUUCAUCAGGGCUGUUGAAACCAUGCAAUAACCGCCGUAAUCAUUAAGUCAUUUGCCGCAAACGUAAUUGGCGAUUUUGUAAACUUUGUGCUGCACAGUGGAAAGAAACCGGUAUAACAAUGAGCUCAUCUUCGUCGCUAAAAGAUUCAGCGCUGCGCCUUUACAGAAUCUGCUGCCGGAUUGUCCAUACUGCAAUUGACGUUGGUAGCGUGAGUAAUGACUGCCCUACCUAAUGAAACCACCAGCAUCACACUAUCAAAAUUUAUUUCAUCCCGCAUGCGUUGUUUAGAUGAUGAUAUCAUAACGCGCAGAGAUUUUAACAGCCUAAUCUUCGAUGACGUUCAUUUGCUGAAAACGUGACAACGUUAUAGAACAAAAUUUCACACGCGAAUGCUGAAAGACGCCAUCACUUCCGCGGUGUCAGUACGAAGUCGCGUAAUGUCCGCGUUUUUUUUUUUAAUCGCAUCAUUUUCAAUAAAUCCGCCCCUUUGUAACAGAGUCGCAAGUUUUGGUUUCCAGGCAACAGCUACGUCGUCUACGUUUUGAGCUUACUUGACAGAUUUAACUUAUUUUAUUACGCAACACGAGCGUUAUGUUUUAUCUCUACGUGGGCCUCAUUGCGACUUUUGUUUACCACCAGCGUGCCUUCAGUGCCAUCAGAAAGAUUUUUUUUUUUUUGCCUUCAGUCUUCGUGUGCCCUAUAAAGAUGUUGUUUCGUAAACUA
rnacentral:misc_RNA from 1 species